rnacentral:lncRNA from 1 species
GCAAGUGAAGAUGUUAAAGAGAUCUUGCCAGAGCCAGAAAUGGAAAGUACAGACCUCUGAAAAUAUCUAUUGAAAAUGGGCAACUUAUGAUUGGAUCAUAUAUAGUCAGCCUUCAGAUUCCUGGGAUAACGAUUAUGAUUCCUUUGUUUUACCCCUGUUGGAGGACAAACAACUGUGCUAUAUAUUAUUCAGGUUAGAUUCUCAGAAUGCCCAGGGAUAUGAAUGGAUAUUCAUUGCAUGGUUUCCAGAUCAUUCUCAUGUCCGUCAAAAAAGGUUAUAUGCAGCAACAAGAGCAACUCUGGAAAAGGAAUCUGGAGGUGGCCACGUUAAAGAUGAAGUAUUUGGAACAGUAAAGGAAGAUGUAUCAUUACAUGGAUAUAAAAAAUGUUUGCUCUCACAAUCUUCCCCUGCCCCACUGACUGCAGCUGAGGAAGAAUUAUGACAUUAAAAUCAAUGAGGUACAGACUGACGUGGGUGUGGACGCUAAGCAUCAAACACUACAAGGAGUAGCAUUUCCUAUUUCUCGAGAAGCUUUUCAGGCUUUGGAAAAAAUAAAUAACAGCUGAACUAUGUGCAGUUGGAAAUAAACAUAAAAAAUGAAAUUAUAAUUUUGGCCAACACAACAAAUACAGAACUAAAAGAUUUGCCAAAGAGGAUUCCCAAGGAUUCAGCUCGUUACCAUUUCUUUCUGUAUAAACAUUCCCAUGAAGGAGACUAUUUAGAGUCCAUAGUUUUUAUCUAUUCAAUGCCCAGAUACACAUGCAGUAUAAGAGAACGGAUGCUGUAUUCUAGCUGCAAGAGCCCUCUGCUAGAAAUUGUAGAAAGACAACUAUGGAUGUUGUAAUGGAUGUAAUUAGAAAGAUUGAGAUAGACAAUGAGGAUUAGUUGACUUCAGACUUCCUUUGUGAAGAAGAAGUACAUCCCAAGCAGCAUGCAGGAAAAAGAAGAAUUCGAAGACUAAUUAGGGGCCCAGCGGAAAAUGAAGCUACUACUG